rnacentral:rRNA from 1 species
UGAGGAAUAUUGGUCAAUGGGCGAGAGCCUGAACCAGCCAAGUCGCGUGAAGGAAGACAGUCCUAAGGAUUGUAAACUUCUUUUAUACGGGAAUAACGGGCGAUACGAGUAUCGCAUUGAAUGUACCGUAAGAAUAAGCAUCGGCUAACUCCGUGCCAGCAGCCGCGGUAAUACGGAGGAUGCGAGCGUUAUCCGGAUUUAUUGGGUUUAAAGGGUGCGUAGGUUGUUCGGUAAGUCAGCGGUGAAACCUGAGCGCUCAACGUUCAGCCUGCCGUUGAAACUGCCGGGCUUGAGUUCAGUGGCGGCAGGCGGAAUUCGUGGUGUAGCGGUGAAAUGCAUAGAUAUCACGAGGAACUCCGAUUGCGAAGGCAGCUUGCCAUACUGCGACUGACACUGAAGCACGAAGGCGUGGGUAUCAAACAGG